rnacentral:lncRNA from 10 species
UAUAGCCCAGGAGAAAAACUUUGCAAGUCACAUAUGUCACAAGACUUUGCAGAAUAUAUAAAUGGCAAAUAAAACACAAAAAGAUGUUCAAUAUCAUUAAGCAUUAGAGACUUGUAAACAAACCAAAUACAGUAAUAUUUCAUUGUAUGGAUGUAGUAUCGUUGAUUCUCCUGUUAAUUGGCAUUUGGGUUGUUCAAAGUUUUGGGCUUUUCUGAAUAAUCUUGAAAGUACUUGAGAGGCUGUAAAAAAGAGGUUCUGAUAUUCCUGGCAAAACUUUCUGCUGGGAAGAGGAAUAGAUCCUGAAGCUUCAGAUUUUACUGGCGAUAAUGAAAGAGCAUCUUUGAAAGUGUGUAGCAUGCGGCAGACAUUCAAUAAAUGUUAGUGGAGUCUCACUUUGGC